UAGUGCUUGCCUAAAUGAAACUAGAUACAAGCGAGCGGCGGACGGGUGAGUAACACGUGGGUAACCUGCCCAAGAGACUGGGAUAACACCUGGAAACAGAUGCUAAUACCGGAUAACAACACUAGACGCAUGUCUAGAGUUUGAAAGAUGGUUCUGCUAUCACUCUUGGAUGGACCUGCGGUGCAUUAGCUAGUUGGUAAGGUAACGGCUUACCAAGGCAAUGAUGCAUAGCCGAGUUGAGAGACUGAUCGGCCACAUUGGGACUGAGACACGGCCCAAACUCCUACGGGAGGCAGCAGUAGGGAAUCUUCCACAAUGGACGAAAGUCUGAUGGAGCAACGCCGCGUGAGUGAAGAAGGGUUUCGGCUCGUAAAGCUCUGUUGGUAGUGAAGAAAGAUAGAGGUAGUAACUGGCCUUUAUUUGACGGUAAUUACUUAGAAAGUCACGGCUAACUACGUGCCAGCAGCCGCGGUAAUACGUAAGUGGCAAGCGUUGUCCGGAUUUAUUGGGCGUAAAGCGAGUGCAGGCGGUUCAAUAAGUCUGAUGUGAAAGCCUUCGGCUCAACCGGAGAAAUUGCAUCAGAAACUGUUU
rnacentral:rRNA from 1 species